AGAGUUUGAUCCUGGCUCAGGAUGAACGCUAGCUACAGGCUUAACACAUGCAAGUCGAGGGGGAAACGACAUCGAAAGCUUGCUUUUGAUGGGCGUCGACCGGCGCACGGGUGAGUAACGCGUAUCCAACCUGCCCAUCACUUGGGGAUAACCUUGCGAAAGUAAGACUAAUACCCAAUGACGUCUCUAGAAGACAUCUGAAAGAGAUUAAAGAUUUAUCGGUGAUGGAUGGGGAUGCGUCUGAUUAGCUUGUUGGGCGGGGUAACGGCCCACCAAGGCGACGAUCAGUAGGGGGUUCUGAGAGGAAGGUCCCCCACAUUGGAACUGAGACACGGUCCAAACUCAUACGGGAGGCA
rnacentral:rRNA from 1 species